GGCGCGAACUUCCGCCGUUCCGAAGUUGCAAGGCGAAUUGGCGCGAUGUCUGGGGACAGCAGCGGCCGCCGGCCCGAGGGCCGGGGCCGGGGCCGUGACCCGCACCGGGAUCGCACCCGUUCUCGUUCCCGCUCGCGGUCCCCGCUGUGCCGCCGCGGCGCCGCGCCGGAGCGCAGGGAGGCCCCGGAGCGCCCGAGCUUGGAGGACACAGAGCCGUCAGAUUCCGGGGACGAGAUGUUGGACCCGGCCACCUUGGAGGCGGAGACCGACCAUGGCCUGUGUCGCCAGAUCCGCCAUCAGUACCGGGCGCUUAUCAACUCCGUCCAACAAAACCGGGAGGAUAUAUUGAAUGCCAGCGACAAAUUAACAGAGGUCCUUGAAGAGGCUAACACUCUGUUUAAUGGAGUGUCCCGGGCACGAGAAGCAGUCCUGGACGCCCACUUUCUCGUUCUAGCUUCAGAUUUGGGCAAAGAGAAAGCAAAGCAGCUGCGCUCUGAUCUGAGCUCGUUUGAUAUGUUAAGAUAUGUUGAAGCUCUACUGACACAUAUGGGUGUAAAUCCGCUAGAAGCUGAAGAACUCAUCCGUGAUGAAGAUAGCUCUGAUUUUGAAUUCAUAGUCUAUGACUCCUGGAAAAUAUCAGGCAAAACAGCAGAAAACACCUUUAAUAAAACCCAUACAUUCCACUUUCUAUUGGGUUCAAUAGAAGGAGAGUUCCCUGUGCCAAAGCCACGAAUCGAUCGUCCAAGAAAAGAGCGUACGAUAGAAGAGCAGCGGGCAAUGCCUGCUCAGUUGAAAAGCAUGGAAGAAUCUCAUCAAGAAGCAACAGAAAAAGAAGUUGAAAGAAUCUUGGGAUUACUGCAAACGUAUUUUCGAGAAGAUCCUGAUACUCCAAUGUCCUUUUUUGACUUUGUGAUUGACCCACAUUCUUUCCCCCGUACAGUGGAAAACAUCUUUCAUGUUUCCUUCAUCAUACGGGAUGGUUUUGCAAGGAUACGACUUGACCAAGACCGACUGCCAAUAAUAGAGCCUGUUAAUAUUAAUGAAGACAGUGAAGGAAUUGACCAAAGCACCCAAAUUAGGAAUCAAGGAAUUAUAGCUCUGAGUUACCGUGACUGGGAGGUGAGCGCUGCAUGUUUCCUGUGUGGUUCUGAUGCUGACUUCCUUGACUGCAGGCCUCUGCCCAAAUAUUCUUUGCUCCCUCCCAGGAGAUUGUGAAGACCUUUGAGAUUUCCGAGCCUGUGAUUUCAUUGGGUCAGAGCCAGCAGAGGCUAAGUGCUUGAUACUAGAUGAAGGACUCAAGUGGAUAGUGAAAUCCAAAAAGAAAAGCAGCAUGUAUUGUAUAUAUUGUAUGAUUAAACAUUUUUAAGGACAGGUUGUUUUUAGUAAAAUGUAGCUUUUGAUAGUUAAUGAAUUUGUCAUGGUUGUCUUUAAUUAAAGGAAUUCC